AGGGUUUGAUUCUGGCUCAGGACGAACGCUGGCGGCACGCUUAACACAUGCAAGUCGAACGGAGAACAUUGAGCUUGCUUAAUGUUCUUAGUGGCGGACGGGUGAGUAACACGUGAGUAACCUGCCUCUGAGAGUGGGAUAGCUUCUGGAAACGGAUGGUAAUACCGCAUAACAUCAUGGAUUCGCAUGUUUCUAUGAUCAAAGAUUUAUCGCUUAGAGAUGGACUCGCGUCUGAUUAGCUAGUUGGUAAGGUAACGGCUUACCAAGGCGACGAUCAGUAGCCGGACUGAGAGGUUGAUCGGCCACAUUGGGACUGAGACACGGCCCAG
rnacentral:rRNA from 1 species